rnacentral:rRNA from 1 species
UACGUAGGGCGCGAGCGUUGUCCGGAUUUAUUGGGCGUAAAGAGCUCGUAGGCGGCUUGUUGCGUCGACCGUGAAAACUCGGGGCUCAACUUCGGGCUUGCGGUCGAUACGGGCGGGCUAGAGUUCGGUAGGGGAGACUGGAAUUCCUGGUGUAGCGGUGAAAUGCGCAGAUAUCAGGAGGAACACCGGUGGCGAAGGCGGUUCUCGGGGCCGAUACUGACGCUGAGGAGCGAAAGCGUGGGGAGCGAACAGG